rnacentral:rRNA from 1 species
AACCGUGGUAAUUCUAGAGCUAAUACAUGCUAAAAACCUCGACUUCGGAAGGGGUGUAUUUAUUAGAUAAAAAACCAAUGCCUUCGGGCUCUUUGGUGAUUCAUAAUAACUUAACGAAUCGCAUGGCCUUGCGCCGGCGAUGGUUCAUUCAAAUUUCUGCCCUAUCAACUUUCGAUGGUAAGAUAGUGGCUUACCAUGGUCUCAACGGGUAACGGGGAAUUAGGGUUCUAUUCCGGAGAGGGAGCCUGAGAAACGGCUACCACAUCCAAGGAAGGCAGCAGGCGCGCAAAUUACCCAAUGCUGACACAGCGAGGUAGUGACAAUAAAUACUGAUACGGGGCUCUUUCGGGUCUCGUAAUUGGAAUGAGUACAAUCUAAAUCCCUUAACGAGGAACAAUUGGAGGGCAAGUCUGGUGCCAGCAGCCGCGGUAAUUCCAGCUCCAAUAGUGUAUAUUAAAGUUGUUGCCGUUAAAAAGCUCGUAGUUGAACCUUGGACCUGGCUGAUCUGUCCUCCUCAUCGAGCGCACGGAUUCGGUCGGGUCUUUCCUUCUGGGGAGCCUCAUGCCCUUCUGGUGUGGGGGGAACCAGGACUUUUACCUUGAAAAAAUUAGAGUGUUCAAAGCAGGCCUUUGUUCGAAUACAUUAGCAUGGAAUAAUAGAAUAGGACAUCGGUUCUAUUUUGUUGGUUUCUAGGACCGCUGUAAUGAUUAAUAGGGAUAGUCGGGGGCGUCAGUAUUCAAUUGUCAGAGGUGAAAUUCUUGGAUUUAUUGAAGACUAACUACUGCGAAAGCAUUCGCCAAGGAUGUUUUCAUUAAUCAGGAACGAAAGUUAGGGGAUCGAAGACGAUCAGAUACCGUCGUAGUCUUAACCAUAAACUAUGCCGACUAGGGAUCGGACGGUGGUUUUUUUAUGCCCCGUUCGGAACCUUACGAGAAAUCAAAUUUUUGGGCUCGGGGGGGAGUAUGGUCGCAAGGCUGAAACUUAANGAAAUUGACGGNAGGGCACCACCAGGCGUCGAGCCUGCGGCUUAAAUUGACUCAACACGGGGAAACUCACCAGGUCCAGACAUGCUUAGGAUUGACAGAUUGAUAGCUCUUUCUUGAUUGUAUGGGUGGUGGUGCAUGGCCGUUCUUAGUUGGUGGAGUGAUUUGUCUGCUUAAUUGCGAUAACGAACGAGACCUUGACCUGCUAAAUAGCCAGGAUCACUUUGGUGGACCGCCGGCUUCUUAGAGGGACUUUUGGCUCAAGCCAAUGGAAGUACGAGGCAAUAACAGGUCUGUGAUGCCCUUAGAUGUUCUGGGCCGCACGCGCGCUACACUGACAGAGCCAGCGAGUAUCACCUUGGCCGAAAGGUCUGGGUAAUCUUGUUAAACUCUGUCGUGCUGGGGAUAGAGCAUUGCAAUUAUUGCUCUUCAACGAGGAAUGCCUAGUAAGCGCAAGUCAUCAGCUUGCGUUGAUUACGUCCCUGCCCUUUGUACACACCGCCCGUCGCUACUACCGAUUGAAUGGCUCAGUGAGGCCUUGGGACUGGCUCAGAGAGGUCGGCAACGACCACUCAGAGCCGGAAACUUGGUCAAACUCGGCAAAUU